rnacentral:tRNA from 1 species
GCCCCAGUGGCGCAACGGCAGCGCAUCCGAUUUGUAAUCGGGAGGUUAGUGGGUUCGAAUCCCCUCUGGGGCU